rnacentral:rRNA from 1 species
UACGGAGGGUGCGAGCGUUGUCCGGAAUCACUGGGCGUAAAGGGCGCGUAGGCGGCUUCUCAAGCGUGUGGUGAAAGUCCGGGGCUCAACCCCGGAUCGGCCGUGCGGACUGGGGAGCUCGAGUUCUGUAGAGGCGGGUGGAAUUCCGGGUGUAGCGGUGGAAUGCGUAGAGAUCCGGAAGAACCCCAGAGGCGAAGGCGGCCCCCUGGCUCGUACCUGACGCUCAGCCACGAAAGCAUGGGGAGCGAACGGG